GAUAAGAUGGAGGUUAUAAAAAACUUAUCAAACCCCAUCAUCUGUUAUAUAUAAGAUUUAUUCGACUCAAGUUCUCUUUACAAAAUCUUAUUAAAAUCUAUUUUUAUUAUUUAUACUACCAUGGCCGUGGCUUCAGAACUCAGUCUCAUAAAUCAUAUAGGACUACUCCUUAUCUAUCAAGAUCGAUAGAUUUCAUCUAGAUGCACACUCUACUCCUACAACGAACUUAGUACAACCAAUCUAUACUGCAAGGAUCCAAAUGGCUAGGGAUCAAGUAUAUGUAC
rnacentral:lncRNA from 1 species